AUGAACGCUGGCGGCGUGCCUCAUACAUGCCAGUCGAGCGCACAGACGAGGAGCUUGCUCCUUCGACGUUAGCGGCGGACGGGUGAGUAACACGUAGGUAACCUACCUAUAAGACUGGGAUAACUUCGGGAAACCGGAGCUAAUACCGGAUAAUAUUUCGAACCGCAUGGUUCGAUAGUGAAAGAUGGCUUUGCUAUCACUUAUAGAUGGACCUGCGCCGUAUUAGCUAGUUGGUAAGGUAACGGCUUACCAAGGCAACGAUACGUAGCCGACCUGAGAGGGUGAUCGGCCACACUGGAACUGAGACACGGUCCAGACUCCUACGGGAGGCAGCAGUAGGGAAUCUUCCGCAAUGGGCGAAAGCCUGACGGAGCAACGCCGCGUGAGUGAUGAAGGUCUUCGGAUCGUAAAACUCUGUUAUUAGGGAAGAACAAACGUGUAAGUAACUGUGCACGUCUUGACGGUACCUAAUCAGAAAGCCACGGCUAACUACGUG
rnacentral:rRNA from 1 species